rnacentral:lncRNA from 1 species
UUUUAUAGCUAACAAUAAGAUUAUGGGUAGAAUAGUAAAAUGAUAUAUAAAGCUAACGUUAUUAUAACUUUUGGGUGGGGGGGGAGGGGGGCAGUAGGAGGUAAUUCUCAUUUUCUCUUAACUAUCAUUAAUGAUAGUACUAGUAAUAACUCAAGAUCAAAUAUGUUACAUGCGAUAAUUUAAUAAUGUAGCAAAAUAAAAAAAUUAAACAAAGUAUGCAAUAAUUUAAUUAAUUUGUGAUAAAUUUGUAUGAAGUAAUUUGUGUAAGAGAAACUUUGUGAGUAUAAUCCAAAUAUCAAAUAUAUGGUACAUUAUAUAUGCCUUGUAUACAGUACAAAUUUAAACCAUUAAUAUUAGUCACUAUUUCAACUAAUAUUGAGAAUAACAAUAUUUGAUGAUCAAUAAGGAUAUUUGGUACUAUGAAUAAUUAUAAUUAUUUGAAAACUAUCCAAUAGUUAAAUGGAAAAUAAGAAAAAAAUAUACUUAGUUUACACUAAUAUAAAUAUUAUUCUCACUAAUAUAGACAUUACAUGUUUCAAAGUAAUUUUUUCAGCCAUAAGAAAAUGCAAAUUUUUCAUGCUGAGAAGGGUGUCUUUGAAAUUUUCCUAAUUUAAAUUGAUAAUUUUGAUAUUUAGAUAAAAUUGGUGUAGCUAUGUGAUAAUUACUACUGAUAUUUGUCAGUUCCCACUUCUAAUUCUUUCGUUCGGUAGCAGGUUUCAUGCGUAAAAAAUAAAAGCCGUUGGAUUGCUUUUAUAAGCAAUUCAAUGGAGAAUAGGUUUCAAAAUAAAAAAUAAAAACGGCUGUAUGGCAUGCAGUGGCUGUAUUAUAAACGGACCCCAAAUGUACAUGCAAUUGUAACAGUUAAAAGGGGACAAAUAAUAAGCAUCAACUUUAAGGGGGGUAGCAAUGGAGCCAAGAGUCAGCAAUAGUAAGACGAAGUUGACAACUCAGAGAAUAAUGAAUUCUGAUUGGUCUAGCUCAUUAAGAAUCAUAAGUCCAGCACAACAAUCACAAGUACUUUUACAAGGACAUUGUACGGACAUGAGGAAAGCACGAACCUUUUGUCCUACUUAUAAUAGGAGAGCCUCUCAAAGGAAAGCACGUGUAAAGAAGAGCCAAAACCUCUGAUCCAAUCAGAUCCUCCAACGAGGAAUCGCCGACGCAUGUUCUCGGAAAAUGAAAAUGAAGGGCUCCUGAUAUUCAUUAUUCAAAACAUAAAGAGGAAAUACCUAAAUGCCAGCCCUUAUCUGAAGAAGGAAGCUCCAAACAGCAUAUCUGCACAAUUUGUAAAUGUUUAUAAGGCACCAUCAACGACACUCUGGUGUAAAAUGCCAAGUUAAGCUAAGGUAGUGGCAAGGUUACUCUCACUCACUCAACUCAAUUUUUUUCCUAUUACCAUUAGGAUUUUAUCAAAAGCCCUCUGAAUCCACUACUUCUAUGUUGACUUAGACAAUCAAAAUAUCAUUUCUAACUACUACUGGCGUCACCUUCCAAUAGAAUUUACUCUUAUUUUUUUAAGUCACUUAUAACUCAAGAACUAGCUCAAUGGUCCUAAAAAACGACAUCGUAACAUCUUAAAACCCAUUGUUUUAGUUUCGUUUCACGUAAUGGCUUAGAAAGCGCUUGUACCUAUUUCACCCUCUCAAAAACUAUCAAAAAACUAAGUCCGUAAUAUUUUAACUUUUAUUUCAGAGCAAAAGUGACCUAAAACAAUAUUAUUUAUGUCAAUUAUUCAUAUAAUACAGCUAAUCAUAUAAUAUAUUUUAAU